rnacentral:rRNA from 1 species
GCAAGUCGAACGAAGCACUUUAUUUGAUUUCCUUCGGGAUUGAUUAUUUUGUGACUGAGUGGCGGACGGGUGAGUAACGCGUGGGUAACCUGCCUUGUACAGGGGGAUAACAGUUGGAAACGGCUGCUAAUACCGCAUAAGCGCACGGCAUCGCAUGAUGCAGUGUGAAAAACUCCGGUGGUAUAAGAUGGACCCGCGUUGGAUUAGCUAGUUGGUGAGGUAACGGCCCACCAAGGCGACGAUCCAUAGCCGACCUGAGAGGGUGACCGGCCACAUUGGGACUGAGACACGGCCCAAACUCCUACGGGAGGCAGCAGUGGGGAAUAUUGCACAAUGGGCGAAAGCCUGAUGCAGCGACGCCGCGUGAGCGAAGAAGUAUUUCGGUAUGUAAAGCUCUAUCAGCAGGGAAGAUAAUGACGGUACCUGACUAAGAAGCACCGGCUAAAUACGUGCCAGCAGCCGCGGUAAUACGUAUGGUGCAAGCGUUAUCC